AAGAUCUUAAGUUAAUUCAAACUAAAGGCCUUCAAAGCCUUAAAUAAUCCUAGAUUAGAUCUUG
rnacentral:tRNA from 1 species